GAUUUGAAUAUGAGAAUUGGAGGAAAUUGAAUCCAUUUCAAUCUGUUACUAUGGGUUCAAUUUCCUCCAAUAUCUCAUUUUCAGUCA
rfam:Ananas comosus cultivar MD2 ACMD2_Scaffold_3423, whole genome shotgun sequence.